ensembl:lncRNA
GUCUUGAUGAACCAUGCAUUUAUUCUCAUGUUGCCAGUAAGUGUUUUCUAAUCCAAAACAGAGAAAAUGUCUUUCACUUUCACACAUAUUCAGUAUACAAAACCCUCAAAGUGUUCUCAGUUCUUUAAUGUGCAGCUCUAUAUAAGUAUAAAUGGUGAGGUCGGCCCUUUUUGAAGGCUGCAGAGUGUCUAAGAGCUGUGUGAAUGGGCUGAUGAAAAUCCCGAGAAAAAAAAGGAAAGCCGAACAUGCUAACAUAGAUGAAGUUCAAGGGUCAUCUGAAAGAAGUUUUGGAGACAUGAGCCAAGCUGGUAUAUUUCAUGUCAUGCCCAUGCAACCAACAGGCUAGCAAAUUUUCUUGCUCUUUCUCUGUGUUCUUCAUGAACUGGCUGGACCUUCCUUUGCCACUAUCUGUCAGUGUGAAAAGAUGGAGG